rnacentral:rRNA from 1 species
CGACGCCGCGUGCGGGAUGACGGCCUUCGGGUUGUAAACCGCUUUCAGCAGGGACGAGGCCGCAAGGUGACGGUACCUGCAGAAGAAGCCCCGGCUAACUACGUGCC